CUUCCUUAAAACUACACACAGAGACAUAACAAAUGUAUCCAGGAGUCUGACUCUUGGGGAAGUAGACAAAAAAAAUAAUAAUAAUUGCCAAAAUCCCGAAGUUUUCCUUUAUUAAGGUUCGGGUUUUGGGUAUGAACUUCCCAAACAUCCCAGAUAGCAGUGACUGUAGGGGGAAGUACAGCAGCCUAAUGGUGUCUUCAACAUAGAAAGGAACAACAAGGAAGAUAAUUACCGGGUUUCAACGCAUCAUUUCAACACAUUCAACCCUUUAUUUCUUUGAAAUUAAAUCAUUCAAGCAAGCAAAACUGAACAACUUGGCUUGUAUGUGCGGGCGAGUCUGUUCUGUCAACCAUGGCCAACAACGUGGAGGAUAUCGAGAACAACAUGGCGACUGAGGCCCCGGUACCGACCCAGAACCAACACCCUGAGCCUGGGGUGACGGGGUUGCGGUCCAGGGGUGGAGGAGGGGCGGAACAGAACGGACAGGCUCCCCCACAACGAACCCCCCAGGUGGUAGAGAGUGAGGAAGACGAAGAUGAGGAGCUGACGCUGAAAUACGGGGCCAAACACGUCAUCAUGCUGUUCGUCCCGGUCACGCUCUGCAUGGUGGUCGUCGUGGCAACCAUCAAGUCCGUCAGCUUCUACACCCAGAACGAUGGACAGAGGCUGAUAUACACCCCUUUCCCCGAGGACACGGACACAAUAGGCCAGCGAGCCCUCAACUCGGUCCUCAACGCCACCAUCAUGAUCAGUGUCAUCAUAGUCAUGACCAUGGUGCUGGUGCUGCUAUACAAGUACCGCUGCUACAGGGUGAUCCAAGGCUGGCUGUUCCUCUCCUCUCUCCUCCUCCUGUUCUUCUUCUCCUUCAUAUACCUCAAAGAAGUGUUUAAGACAUACAACGUGGCGAUGGACUGGAUCACCCUGGCUGUGAUCGUGUGGAACUUCGGGGUUGUAGGGAUGAUCUGUAUCCACUGGAAGGGUCCUCUACGUCUGCAGCAGGCCUAUCUCAUCAUGAUCUCUGCUCUCAUGGCUCUGGUCUUCAUCAAGUACCUUCCCGAGUGGACCGCCUGGCUCAUCCUGGCUGUUAUAUCUGUCUAUGAUCUGCUAGCGGUGCUCUGCCCGAAAGGUCCUCUUCGUAUCUUAGUGGAGACGGCUCAGGAGAGGAACGAGCCCAUCUUCCCAGCUCUCAUCUACUCCUCGACCAUGGUGUGGCUGGUCAACAUGGCAGACACUGGCCUCGGACACAGACCGAUGACCAGGAAGAACUCAACAGAGGCCCCCGUCGCUCAGGUUGAGAGUCAAUCCCUGGCUUUAGGCCCGGCCCCUCUCAGCCCCCCAGAGGAUGACGGAGGGUUCACCCCUAACUGGAUGGGGCAUCAGGAGCAUCAGCUGGGACCCCUUCAAUCCACGGACGAGACGCGACGGGAGAUCCAACAACUCCCCUCUGCCAGACCGCCCGUAAUGGACGAUGAUGAUGAGGAGAGGGGAGUGAAACUGGGUCUAGGAGACUUCAUCUUCUACAGCAUGCUGGUGGGGAUAGAGUUGGUUACAGGGUUAGGAUCAGUGUGGUAUAACGUGGUUCUGAUUCCCAGGGGGAGUGAAACUGGGUCUAGGAGACUUCAUCUUCUACAGCAUGCUGGUGGGGAUAGAGUUGGUUACAGGGUUAGGAUCAGUGUGGUAUAACGUGGUUCUGAUUCCCAGGGGGAGUGAAACUGGGUCUAGGAGACUUCAUCUUCUACAGCAUGCUGGUGGGGAUAGAGUUGGUUACAGGGUUAGGAUCAGUGUGGUAUAACGUGGUUCUGAUUCCCAGGGGGAGUGAAACUGGGUCUAGGAGACUUCAUCUUCUACAGCAUGCUGGUGGGGAUAGAGUUGGUUACAGGGUUAGGAUCAGUGUGGUAUAACGUGGUUCUGAUUCCCAGGGGGAGUGAAACUGGGUCUAGGAGACUUCAUCUUCUACAGCAUGCUGGUGGGGAUAGAGUUGGUUACAGGGUUAGGAUCAGUGUGGUAUAACGUGGUUCUGAUUCCCAGGGGGAGUGAAACUGGGUCUAGGAGACUUCAUCUUCUACAGCAUGCUGGUGGGGAUAGAGUUGGUUACAGGGUUAGGAUCAGUGUGGUAUAACGUGGUUCUGAUUCCCAGGGGGAGUGAAACUGGGUCUAGGAGACUUCAUCUUCUACAGCAUGCUGGUGGGGAUAGAGUUGGUUACAGGGUUAGGAUCAGUGUGGUAUAACGUGGUUCUGAUUCCCAGGGGGAGUGAAACUGGGUCUAGGAGACUUCAUCUUCUACAGCAUGCUGGUGGGGAUAGAGUUGGUUACAGGGUUAGGAUCAGUGUGGUAUAACGUGGUUCUGAUUCCCAGGGGGAGUGAAACUGGGUCUAGGAGACUUCAUCUUCUACAGCAUGCUGGUGGGGAUAGAGUUGGUUACAGGGUUAGGAUCAGUGUGGUAUAACGUGGUUCUGAUUCCCAGGGGGAGUGAAACUGGGUCUAGGAGACUUCAUCUUCUACAGCAUGCUGGUGGGGAUAGAGUUGGUUACAGGGUUAGGAUCAGUGUGGUAUAACGUGGUUCUGAUUCCCAGGGGGAGUGAAACUGGGUCUAGGAGACUUCAUCUUCUACAGCAUGCUGGUGGGGAUAGAGUUGGUUACAGGGUUAGGAUCAGUGUGGUAUAACGUGGUUCUGAUUCCCAGGGGGAGUGAAACUGGGUCUAGGAGACUUCAUCUUCUACAGCAUGCUGGUGGGGAAGGCUUCGGCUGCAGCUAGUGGAGACUGGAACACUACUCUGGCCAGCUUCGUAGCCAUACUCAUCGGCCUGUGUUUAACUCUUCUUCUCCUGGCCAUCUUUAAGAAGGCCCUCCCUGCCCUUCCCAUCUCCAUCUUCUUUGGCUUGGUGUUCUACUUCGCUACAGACAACCUGGUCAGACCCUUUAUGGACCAGCUGGCUCUGCACCAGUUCUACAUUUAGCAGGAUGUUCCCCUGCUCUCCGCCACCCCACGGGAGCUGCCAUCAUCAACACCAGAGGUCUAUUCAUUAGUGCACAACAUAGCGAAACGUUUUUGCAACGAAAAACAUGUUUUUUUUGUUUUUUUUACCAAAUCAGUUAGGUUCCCUCCUCCUCUUUUUCAUCCUGUUUUGCUGUGCCAGAGUUCAACUUCUAACGAGGGACCAGGGGCAUCUCCGCUCCGGUCCAGUCCCCCUGACUGAAGUUGAUGGUAGUUUUUGGAUCUGCCUUUUUUGUUUCUGGGCUUAGUGGUGGAGGAGGUUCCUAACCAUGAUGUCUUUUUGAUUUGUUUAUACUUUCCUCGUUUGAUAUGCCGUCUAAAGGUAGUGGUUACGCUGAGUUGAAGGUAGUACUGCAGUGGGGUACUACCACAGAGCUAGAAUGAGUUUAUGAUUCUGUAGUUGAGAGUCAUACACAACCCAAAAAAGGAGGAGGAGGAGGAGGAGGAGAAGCAGCAGCAGACUGGUUGUACCUCCGGACUUCAGAGGGGCUUCUAAUAAAACCCGACUGAUCACUCACUAACGAACGGACUGUCACGUGACAUGAUGAUGUAACUGAUGAUACUGGUAAAAAAUGUUUUUUUUUUGUUGAAUAAUUCUCCUUUGAUUGUGCUUCUGGAAUUGAACUCGUCAAUAGUCAAAGCUUUUGCUUUGUCCAUCCAUCCAUCACUGCUCCAGGGGCUGUGUUCCAAAUGGCACCCUAUUCCCUGGAUAGUGCACUAGAGUCAAUAGGGCUCUAGUCAAAAGUAGUGCACUAUAUAGGGGGAAAGGGUGCUAUUCAUCCUGCAUUCCAGGAUUCAUUUCCAUGGUUUUUUUCUUUCGUUUUUUUCCCCCCCCCCCAACUCAAUUCAGAUAUUCAGACCGUGAAAACGAAGGCCUGUGAGUUUUACACAGUGUUGCUGGCCCACGAUGCUUGUUUUUCCUGAACAGGAUGGUUUGAAACAACGCCUAAUAGCAUUUAUAAUAUAUAAGAGCUUUGAGUUGUGUCCCCCACCACACCGCAUCAUAAAAAACACCUUGGUUUUGUUCUCUGUCAGAGCCAUGUCCAAGUCUAGACGUGCUGUUGAGUCUAACCUGAUUCCAGUGUUUGUCAUGACGGAAUUGACCCCCCCCAAAACUCCGUUUCUAUUCCAGUCCGUUCAGGAAGUAUACCCUGAAAUUCCAAUUAUAUCUCUAAUGCUUUUCAAUUAGGAAAAUGUGGAAUUGGAAUUUUGUUUUACUCUCUGAUUCGAUUGGGUUUGGAAAUUGAAUUCGCUCCGACCGUGACGACGAGUGACAGGAAGUUGACACGAUGGCACAAAGCAUAUCUGGGACCAGGUUAUGUUGAUUGGUCCACGCUAGAAUCAUCCUGUUGUCGCCUGGUUCUGUCCUUGAACAGUCGGUUUCUCCUCAUGGAAACAAACUAAACGUUUUGACAUAACGUCGUGACAAUACAUUUGACGAAGAGUUGAUUAUGAUAGCACAAAACAAAUCUGUGACCAUUUUAAAAGAUGGAAAAGGCCUGGUCAAAUUACUUGUCCUGUUCUGCUUUCAAAACGAGCAUCUGUUAGACCAAACUAGUUCUUUAGGGUUUUUUUUUUCUUUUCUUUCGUGGACACACAAUAGGCUUAGUCCUAGAACUAAAAACACCCAUUUUUAAAAUCAUUAUUUUAGUCCAGGGCUUUGCUUAAUCUGUGUCUAGGAGACGGGAACCUAGUGUUGCUCUCCGAUUUUAAAACUCUUUGCUGCAGAGUAACCUGCAGAUGGAGCAAUGACAUGAGGUCUCUCUCUCUAUCCCUCUCUCUAUCCCUCUCUCUAUCCCUCUCUCUAUCCCUCUCUCUAUCCCUCCCUGAGGUCAUUGUGCUGAUAUUUUUCUUACUUUUGUAAAGAUUAUUUUGGGCAACUGGCCAUGUGCAUUAUGCAAGGUUGUUCAUUUCAAAUGUUCCGUUUUAAAAUAAAUGAAUCAAGAAUAAAA